AAGUCGUAACAAGGUUUCCGUAGGUGAACCUGCGGAAGGAUCAUUACCGAGUCUGGGUUCCCUCCCACGGGGCCCAACUCCCAACCCUGUGUCUAAUAAACCUGAACGUGUUGCUUCGGCGGACCGGCGGUAAACUUAAGUGUGACCGCCGCCGGGGGCUUGACCGCCCCUGGAGAGCUUGUCCGUCGACGGCCCAAUACCCCCCAAAAAACUCAUACCUAACCGGUGAAAUACAAAACAAUUCUGAAUCAAAACCAUUUUGAUAUAUACCAAAUCAAAAACAAAACUUUCAACAACGGAUCUCUUGGUUCUGGCAUCGAUGAAGAACGCAGCGAAAUGCGAUAAGUAAUGCGAAUUGCAGAAUUUCCGUGAGUCAUCGAAUCUUUGAACGCACAUUGCGCCCUUUGGCAUUCCGAAGGGCAUGCCUGUUCGAGCGUCAUUAUCCUCCCUCAAACCUCGGGUUUGGUGUUGGACCACGGGGGCGGGUUCGCUCUCCCCGGGUCUCAAAGAUAAUGACGGCGUCCGUGGGACCCUCUUCGCACUGAGCUUUCCGGAGCACGCGUCGAGUUUCAAGGUCUCCGGGGGCCGGUCACACCCUUUUAUUUUUCUAGGUUGACCUCGGAUCAGGUAGGAAUACCCGCUGAACUUAA
rnacentral:rRNA from 1 species